CAGUCGCCACGGUAAUACAGAGGGUGCGAGCGUUAAUCGGAUUUACUGGGCGUAAAGCGUGCGUAGGCGGCUUCUUAAGUCGGAUGUGAAAUCCCUGAGCUUAACUUAGGAAUUGCAUUCGUUACUGGGAAGCUAGAGUAUGGGAGAGGAUGGUAGAAUUCCAGGUGUAGCGGUGAAAUGCGUAGAGAUCUGGAGGAAUACCGAUGGCGAAGGCAGCCAUCUGGCCUAAUACUGACGCUGAGGUACGAAAGCAUGGGGAGCAAACAGGAUUAGAUACCCCUGUAGUCCCUGUCUCUUAUAC
rnacentral:rRNA from 1 species